UGUCACGUGACCGCCGCGGUCCAAUUAGUGGCGCUUGCAAGCCGAUAGCAGGAAGUAGCCAGGAGACAGGACUUGAGAGAUCGAUUACAUUUCUGCUCGAGAGCCGACUUCCAGGGCCGGGUUCUUUGUCAUGAAGCUGUGUUUGACUGUAGAAGCUGAGUUGGUUGCCGACCUCUGCUCUAAACCCAAGAUCUUGUCAAUAUCGUUGAGGCCGGUGAGAUAGUUCCAAUGUUGGUUUGCAGAGCAGUGCAAAAAGAGGCAAGAAGAAAGUUAAGACAAAGAAGCAAGCAGGAGAGGAAAGGAGAGCGUCCACCCUCGAUGAGUGCCAGAGAGAAAAAGUUUAUUCUUUAUGGCCGUUUAUUUGCAAAACUUCACCCUCUGAAAUAUGAUGCAUUCCCACUAUUGAGACUAAAAUUCUGAGUGUGCCCGAGCAGGGAAGUAAAUAAGGCUCCCUGAUUGUCUGCACUUUGACUCCGAAAACCUCUCUUCGUCUUGUGCCCUUUUGUGUUGUGCAUAAACUGUGCUCAAUCGCAUUAUUAUUACAGAGAAAUGUGCUCAUAUUAAGCCUCCGCACUGUCAUUUGCCCCGCAAUCGGGGCUGUGGGCUGUCAAGCAAGCUUGGCAGGGCAUAAGAUGCAUGUGAAAUGAGAUUUGCAUAAAGAGUGUUGCUCUGUCAUUUUUGUUUAUUUAUUUUUUUAUCUGCAGCUGGGAAAACAUAAAUAAAAGAAGCACACCGCCUGCUGCAUGAGUCCCACACGCUACAUUAAACAGGUGUUGCUAAAGGACUUUAUUGAUGAUGUGACUGUAUUAAUUAUAACAUCAUUAUGCUUCUUGACAGACGUGUGGGGAAACCAGGGAUAUGAAAACAUUGGCCGCGGGAAAUGUAUUUUGUCAGUAAAAUGAUUAUAGUUAAUGGGCUUAAAAUGAAGGCAAGUAAUGAUAAUAAUAAUAAUAAUAGAUGUUAUUUGUAAAAAGCACUUUACAUUAAGCAAACAACCUGAAUGUGCUCA